UACGUAGGUGGCAAGCGUUGUCCGGAUUUACUGGGCGUAAAGAGCGCGCAGGCGGUCGUUCAAGUCGCGUGUGAAAGCCCCCGGCUCAACUGGGGAGGGUCACGCGAUACUGAUCGACUCGAAGGCAGGAGAGGGUAGUGGAAUUCCCGGUGUAGUGGUGAAAUGCGUAGAUAUCGGGAGGAACACCAGUGGCGAAGGCGACUACCUGGCCUGUUCUUGACGCUGAGGCGCGAAAGCUAGGGUAGCAAACGGG
rnacentral:rRNA from 1 species